UUCUCCUUAGCUCAGUUGGUUAGAGCGUCUGACUGUUAUUCACAAAACGACAUCAGGAGGUCCACAGUUCAAACCUGUGAGGGGAAG
rnacentral:tRNA from 1 species